GUUAGAGAGAGCAAGCAGCAUAUUGGUCAACAGUGUGGGAUCCAUUCCUGCAGCCGGAAGAGGCAGAGCAUGCAGUACACAAACUGUUGAAAGAUGGUGCCAAAUGCAGACGGAAGCACAGGGAUUGCUGUGAUGCGAAGCAAUGUAUCACGGGUCAUUGGGACAGGACAUUGGGAUUAACUGGCAUUUACUUCAUGUAUAAUUGUUUUUAAAAUGUCAAAAUGUGUAUAAAAUGUAUAUAUUUGAUUGUAUCCCUCUCCCGCCCCCAUUCUUCAUAUAUUGCUUUCCUUCUUAGGGCCCAAUCAUGCAAACUCUUAUGCCCUUGACUAAUAUGCAUCUUUAGGCAUGUUAAUUGUCCCACUAAAUUCAUUGUCCCACUCACAUGUGUAAAGGUACUCACAUGCAUAAGUGUUUGCAGGAUUAGAAGGGCUAGCUAAGGCCUAGUCUACACACAGUUUUUGUAUUGGUAUAGCUGUUUGUUCAGUAUGUGUAAGUCCUUCUCAGGAGCAUCCUCCUAUUCAGAAAUAAACUAUGCCAGUAUAAGCACUUUAAUACUGGCAUAACUGCAUCCACAAUAGGGGAGUUGUACUGUUAUACUGGUAUACUUAAAGUAGUACAACUUUUGUGUGUAGACACUAACCGUAAGAUUUUAAGCUCUUUGGAGCAGGGACCACGAUUCAGAUUCUCAGCUGGUGUAAAUUGUCAUAGCUCAGUUGAAGUCAAUGGAGCUAUGACAAUUUAUAUCAGCUGAGGAUCUGGCCCUGUGUUUUCCUAUGUGUUUUUACUAUGCCUAGGACAAUGGAACCAUGAACUCUGUUGCAGCUUCUGGGUACUACUAUAAGAUAAAUAUAAAAUAUUCAAUAAUAAAUGAUAUGAUAUGGCCCUCUGUUGUAUGUAUUUUGGAUUUCAUCCCUCUAUAAUUUAGAAUUUAAAAAUAUAAUUUGUACUUUCUUUACUAUACAGGACUUUGAUUUUUGUUUCUUGUUUUAAAUAUUAAUGCCCAGAACAGCAUGACCCAGGAUUAAAGAUCUAGAAUAGAUGGUAAACAGCAUGCUAACAAAAUUCACAGAUAUUAAAUGGGAAGAAUUGCAAAUGCCACUCAGGACGGGGACAUAAUACAAAGGUACUUAUGUUAGAAGCAUACCCAGAAAAUAAAAUGAGAUUCAGAUUAGUACAUCUAAGGAAAAAUAAUCUGAAGCACAGAUAUUCAAUGGGAAGGAGAAACUUGGAACAGUAAUUUUAAAAAGAAAAUCUAGAAGUGAUAAAGACCAGGCAAUGUGAUGAGUUUGCAUAUGAUAUGGCAAACUAAAAGACUGAUGCUGUUCUGAGCUGCAUAUGCAGAAGUGUUAUGUCCUGAAGGAGGGAGGAAACAGGACCCUUUAUGGUGUGAUUACACCUGUCUGGACUAUUGCAUUCAUUUCUGGUCCCCUCCUUAACCAAAAGGUGUUGACGAAUUGGAGGGAGUUCAGAGAAUUGCAACAAAGUUAUUGGGGAAGGGACUGACUUGUGAGGAAAGAUUAGAAGACCUAAGGGCCAAAUUUGUAAAGGUAUUUAGGCAUCUAAAGAUGCAGAUAUGUGGUUGAGGGAUUUUCAGCAGUGCCUAGGUGCCUAACUCCUAUUGAUUUCAAUGGGAGUUAGGUGCCUAGGCAGUUUUGAAAAUCGUGUUAGACACCUAUCUGUACCUAUAUGUUUAAAAAUCUGUCCCUCAAUCUGUAUAGUAUGUGUAAGAGAUGGCUAAAGGGGGACAAACAUAAUAAUAGUGAAACCCCCAAGAAGAUAGAGGAAUUAUUUAGGGUUUUACAUACACUAAGAAAAAUUAUUACUAACAGCUAGUGAAAUAAUUACUGUGAUUGCUUAGAUUUGUUUACCUUGUGUUGGGAAAUUGUUUAAUAUUUUUAAUUACUAAUACAAAAUGCUGAUUUCCAUUUUAUGUUAAAUCAUUAUAACUGUAAUCAUUUUAAAAAGGAAUAGAACAUCUUAACUCUAUAUUAUAGUCAUAGUAUCUGUUUAUGUUAGUCAGAGCAAUAAUUAUUUUAAAUUAUUCUGACUCAUUAACUUUUAUCUUGACUUCAUGUUGAUUCCUCAUCUGAGUAAGAGUUACAGGAUCAGAUCCUAAGAUGCAUAAAGGUAAGAAAUAAAGGCUUUAUAAAACUACUAGAAAAUCUCAACAACCAUAUAACUAUUUUGUACUACAGUACUGAGUAAUAUUAAGGAUUUCUGUGAAAUGAAGCCUUCUCUAUACUCAACACAUUCCAAAUGUGUGGAAUUCUGUCUGAAGUAUUUUAAGUUUCAACAGCAAGAACUUGUGAGUCAGAAGGCUAGAUCCUCUGUGCAAGUGAGCUGUGUUUGGUGCAAGACAGAGGAAGAGUUACAGGUUUUUCUGCAUUCUCUAUGGGGGAAAAUAUUAGAACUUAAGAUCAUGCUUGUGGCUGAACUUUUAAAGUGGAUGAGCAAACUUCUUAGUAGUGACAGCAAACCCAUGAUCUAGGAAGCAUGUGGAGCAGAAUUUACCAAGAUGUUAUUGUUUAUAUCAAUCUUUGUUUUAUUCAGUACUGUGAUGAUUUAAAAGCUGUUUAAUCCAAUACUGCUAAAGGUUUCUUAGCAGUUAAUACAGAUUAUUUUUUAAAACUUCCUUUUACUUUGAGAAGGUAAUACCAACAAGACGGGCAGAAACAGGAUGAGAAAGUGAAGCAAGAAGAAUUGUGUUAAUUUUCAGUGUAUUUUUUUAAUUUGAUAAAAUGAUUCUUGUCUUAGUGAAACUGGACUUUGGAAAGUGAUUACAUUUCUCACAAUUUACACCAAACAAACUCCCCUCCCUGCAAAAAGAAAAGAAAAGAAAAA